rnacentral:tRNA from 1 species
GGCGGAUGUAGCCAANUGGAUCAAGGCAGU